UUGACCUCGGAUCAGGUAGGAAUACCCGCUGAACUUAAGCAUAUCAAUAAGCCGGAGGAAA
rnacentral:rRNA from 7 species